rnacentral:lncRNA from 1 species
AAAAGGAGGGGAGGGGGAGGGACCAGCCCACCCGCGUAGCAGCCCCAUUACUGGGCCCCCCCUUCCACCAGGGAAUGUUCGAUACAGGUCGCAGGUUUCGCGUGCCUUCCCCGACCCGUGGGCUCACCCCACUGGGUUCACCGCCUCACGUGUGGGUACGUCACCCCCAGCGCCACCUUGGUACAAGUGGAAGGAAAACAUAACCGCCAACAAGCCAGCCGGGCAUGGGGCAUCCGGUCCCCUAAUUUUAAUCGACGCCCGCGCGUUUCGAACCCGGGCAACUUGGGCGGAAUUAUCGCCCCCUUACCACCAGGCUACUACCUUGGUGGAU